rnacentral:rRNA from 1 species
CCUACGGGUGGCAGCAGUGGGGAAUAUUGCACAAUGGGCGCAAGCCUGAUGCAGCCAUGCCGCGUGUGUGAAGAAGGCCUUCGGGUUGUACAGCACUUUCAGCGGGGAGGAAGGCGGUGAGGUUAAUAACCUCAUCGAUUGACGUUACCCGCAGGAGAAGCACCGGCUAACUCCGUGCCAGCAGCCGCGGUAAUACGGAGGGUGCAAGCGUUAAUCGGAAUUACUGGGCGUAAAGCGCACGCAGGCGGUCUGUCAAGUCGGAUGUGAAAUCCCCGGGCUCAACCUGGGAACUGCAUUCGAAACUGGCAGGCUAGAGUCUUGUAGAGGGGGGUAGAAUUCCAGGUGUAGCGGUGAAAUGCGUAGAGAUCUGGAGGAAUACCGGUGGCGAAGGCGGCCCCCUGGACAAAGACUGACGCUCAGGUGCGAAAGCGUGGGGAGCAAACAGGAUUAGAUACCCCUGUAGUC